UACGUAGGGUGCGAGCGUUAAUCGGAAUUACUGGGCGUAAAGCGUGCGCAGGCGGUUUUGUAAGCCAGAUGUGAAAUCCCCGGGCUUAACCUGGGAAUGGCAUUUGGGACUGCAAGGCUUGAGUGCGGCAGAGGAGACUGGAAUUCCUGGUGUAGCGGUGAAAUGCGCAGAUAUCAGGAGGAACACCGGUGGCGAAGGCGGGUCUCUGGGCCGAAACUGACGCUGAGGAGCGAAAGCGUGGGGAGCAAACAGG
rnacentral:rRNA from 1 species